UACGGAGGGCGCAAGCGGUGUUCGGAGUCACUGGGCGUAAAGCGCGUGUAGGCGGCUUGGCAAGUCGGGUGUGAAAUCCCGAGGCUCAACCUCGGAACUGCACUCGAAACUGCCUGGCUCGAGUCCCGGAGAGGGUGGCGGAAUUCCCGGUGUAGGGGUGAAAUCCGUAGAUAUUGGGAGGAACACCAGUGGCGAAGGCGGCCACCUGGACGGUGACUGACGCUGAGACGCGAAAGCGUGGGGAGCAAACAGG
rnacentral:rRNA from 1 species